GAGUGAACGCUGGCGGUAGGCCUACCACAUGCAAGUCGAACGGCAGCACAGUAAGAGCUUGCUCUUACGGGUGGCGAGUGGCGGACGGGUGAGGAAUACAUCGGAAUCUACUUUUUCGUGGGGGAUAACGUAGGGAAACUUACGCUAAUACCGCAUACGACCUACGGGUGAAAGCAGGGGAUCUUCGGACCUUGCGCGAUUGAAUGAGCCGAUGUCGGAUUAGCUAGUUGGCGGGGUAAAGGCCCACCAAGGCGACGAUCCGUAGCUGGUCUGAGAGGAUGAUCAGCCACACUGGAACUGAGACACGGUCCAGACUCCUACGGGAGGCAGCAGUGGGGAAUAUUGGACAAUGGGCGCAAUCCUGAUCCAGCCAUACCGCGUGGGUGAAGAAGGCCUUCGGGUUGUAAAGCCCUUUUGUUGGGAAAGAAAAGCAGCAGGUUAAUACCCCGCUGUUCUGACGGUACCCAAAGAAUAAGCACCGGCUAACUUCGUG
rnacentral:rRNA from 1 species